rnacentral:rRNA from 1 species
AUGAGGAUGUUAUGUUUGUAUUUUCGACCCUGGAGCAGAGGACAAGGCUGGGGAUGUUCUAUCGGUUCUAAUAGAAGAACACGAAGUAUUUCUGAGCUCAGCAUGAUUGUGGCUGACAAAACUAGAGGUUUUCAUAGGGCAAAGCUGGUCAUCAUCAACCCGGGGCUCUACGUGGACGUGUUCUGGAUACCACAGCACCGGAGCUUCCCAACAUCCUUCAUGCUCUUUACCGGUAAUAAGCAAGCCUUGGACGAUGAUGACCAUGGCCAACACUUUCGUGAUUCUUGUGCUGUCGACGGUGCAUUGCUGGCGGACCAUCUUCUCUCAUCAAGCGAGGAUGAUGAUGAUGCCGAGGACCUGAGCUGUUGCUUGAUCAUCUAUUGUUGCUGGAUUCUUUCAACCCUCUUGGUUUGGAAAUCCUUGGCUGUCCAGUAG